rnacentral:rRNA from 1 species
AUUGAACGCUGGCGGCAGGCCUAACACAUGCAAGUCGAACGAGUGGCGGACGGGUGAGUAAUGUCUGGGAAACUGCCUGAUGGAGGGGGAUAACUACUGGAAACGGUAGCUAAUACCGCAUACUAUCAGCUGUGCCCAGAUGGGAUUAGCUUGUUGGUGGGGUACCGGCUCACCAAGGCGACGAUCCCUAGCUGGUUUGAGAGGAUGACCAGCCACACUGGAACUGAGACACGGUCCAGACUCCUACGGGAGGCAGCAGUGGGGAAUAUUGGACAAUGGGCGAAAGCCUGAUGCAGCCAUGCCGCGUGUAUGAGGAAGGCCUUCGGGUUGUAAAGUACUUUCGGCAGGGAGGCGUUACCCGCAGAAGAAGCACCGGCUAACUACGUGCCAGCAGCCGCGGUAAUAC